CCUACGGGUGGCAGCAGUCGAGAAUCAUUCACAAUGGGGGAAACCCUGAUGGUGCGACGCCGCGUGGGGGAAUGAAGGUCUUCGGAUUGUAAACUCCUGUCAUGUGGGAGCAAAUUAAAAAGAUUGUACCACAAGAGGAAGCGACGGCCAAACCUGUGCCAGCAGCCGCGGUAAUACAGCGGGCUCUAGCGUUGUUCGGAAUCACUGGGCGUAAAGGGUGCGUAGGCUGUUUCGUAAGUCGUGUGGGAAAGGCGUGGGCUCAACCCGCGGAAGGCACAUGAUACUGCGAGACUAGAGGAAAGGAGGGGGAACCGGAAUUCCCGGUGUAGCAGUGAAAUGCGUAGAUA
rnacentral:rRNA from 1 species